UACGUAGGGUGCAAGCGUUAAUCGGAAUUACUGGGCGUAAGGCGUGCGCAGGCGGUGAUGUAAGACAGGUGUGAAAUCCCCGGGCUCAACCUGGGAACUGCAUUUGUGACUGUAGAGCUGGAGUACGGCAGAGGGGGAUGGAAUUCCGCGUGUAGCAGUGAAAUGCGUAGAUAUGCGGAGGAACACCGAUGGCGAAGGCAAUCCCCUGGGCCUGUACUGACGCUCAUGCACGAAAGCGUGGGGAGCAAACAGG
rnacentral:rRNA from 1 species